rnacentral:rRNA from 1 species
AAUUCGAGCGGACCGACGGGGAGCUUGCUCCCUUAGGUCAGCGGCGGACGGGUGAGUAACACGUGGGUAACCUGCCUGUAAGACUGGGAUAACUCCGGGAAACCGGGGCUAAUACCGGAUGCUUGAUUGAACCGCAUGGUUCAAUCAUAAAAGGUGGCUUUUAGCUACCACUUACAGAUGGACCCGCGGCGCAUUAGCUAGUUGGUGAGGUAACGGCUCACCAAGGCGACGAUGCGUAGCCGACCUGAGAGGGUGAUCGGCCACACUGGGACUGAGACACGGCCCAGACUCCUACGGGAGGCAGCAGUAGGGAAUCUUCCGCAAUGGACGAAAGUCUGACGGAGCAACGCCGCGUGAGUGAUGAAGGUUUUCGGAUCGUAAAACUCUGUUGUUAGGGAAGAACAAGUACCGUUCGAAUAGGGCGGUACCUUGACGGUACCUAACCAGAAAGCCACGGCUAACUACGUGCCAGCAGCCGCGGUAAUACGUAGGUGGCAAGCGUUGUCCGGAAUUAUUGGGCGUAAAGCGCGCGCAGGCGGUUUCUUAAGUCUGAUGUGAAAGCCCCCGGCUCAACCGGGGAGGGUCAUUGGAAACUGGGGAACUUGAGUGCAGAAGAGGAGAGUGGAAUUCCACGUGUAGCGGUGAAAUGCUUAGAGAUG